rnacentral:rRNA from 1 species
UUUAGAGGAAGUAAAAGUCGUAACAAGGUUUCCGUAGGUGAACCUGCGGAAGGAUCAUUAUUGAAAUCGUUCGUGAAAGGCUGUUGCUGGUCUCCGAGAGGGGGCAUACAAUUAAUUAGUGCACGCCUUUCUUCGUUYGCUUCUUCCACACACACACCCUGUGCAUCUUUUGUAGGUUGAGACAUCGACCUAUGCCUUUUUCUUAAUAAUUCAUUCUUAUCUAUCAUUGGAAAGUGCGCAUUUAUUUAUUAAUACAACUUUCAACAACGGAUCUCUUGGCUCUCGCAUCGAUGAAGAACGCAGCGAAAUGCGAUAAGUAAUGUGAAUUGCAGAAUUCAGUGAAUCAUCGAAUCUUUGAACGCACCUUGCGCUCCUUGGAUAUUCCGAGGAGCAUGCCUGUUUGAGUGUCAUGAAACUUUCAAAGCCCUUUUCUUUUUUCGAAAGGGAGGAGGCUUUUGGAUUGUGGAGUUGUGUGCUGGAAGAGAGGACAACUCUCUGUCAGCUCCUCUAAAAUGCAUUAAGCUUUUGCCUCGUGCGGACGUGUCAAAGAGCUCGUUGGUAUGAUAAUAUUUUGUCUAUGCCCACUUGCCAGUCUGCGUUGCAGGUAUCCGCUCGCACACAGAGAAAAAUAUCAUUGUAAUCAUUUGACCUCAAAUCAGGUAGG